GAAAGGACGAAGUAACGCGCGUUUAGAGGGCACGAACAAACCGUGGGAGGAAGCCAUUUAGAAACCCAAUCCACCUGUUAAUCCAAUCGCCACGAAAGCCGCUUGAGAACGACUUUAAUUGAGUGCCACCUAUGUUCCUCGCUCGACGACCGUCGGUGGCAGUGUGCGUCCUAGGAAAGGCCUGGCACGCUCGAUUCCCUCCGAGUUAAAUUCGAUGAAUCGAACACACCGUUGACGGGGAUUAAUCAACUUUCGUUGGCCAGAUUAUAAAGAUCGAUGGAAGGGAUCGGAUCGUGCUAAUGAUAUAUCAGAUUCAUGGAAAGCAACGCUGGCAUCGAAAUACGUGUAAACGCGUGCAACGGCGCGUUGCACAUUGCCGCUCGAGCGCAUACGAUUCAUGCGAGCACGAGAGGAGUCGUCGAUGCGUAUCCAGCUAUCCACGUGCCAGGCGUUGCGUGCGACACGCCCAGUGCGUGGCUCGUACCACACGCACAUACGUGCCGCGCGAACCGAGAUUUAUGCCAUUGGCCGCGAACCACGCCGCUCGUUUAUCGGCCGUUCCACGCGCGCGGAUCACGGCAACGAACCAGGUACUUAAUCGCACCUUGCGCCGUCAUCCGCCGUGCUCGACAGACGCUGCCACGAAACAUACCUCAUUUUUCGAUCGUUAUCAUCUGCUUCGAUUAAUUCGAAUAAUCUUCGAAUUUAUCUCUCGUGAUUAGCUUGCGGACGUUUAUGCACUUAUUGAAAAUAUAAAUUCCCG
rnacentral:misc_RNA from 1 species